AUUGAACGCUGGCGGCAUGCCUAACACAUGCAAGUCGAACGGCAGCGCGGAUAGCUUGCUAUCUGGCGGCGAGUGGCGGACGGGUGAGUAAUACAUAGGAAUCUGCCCAGUAGUGGGGGA
rnacentral:rRNA from 1 species